AAAUUAAUUCAUAGUUUUAUGUUCAAUAUACUUAAAAUUGUUAAUCUUAUGUGUGUAAUUAAUAUUUUUAAAUUUGAUUUAAUUAAUUCUAAACCGUUUUAAUGUUAAAUAAUAGUGAUAUUUUCAAUUUAUUGAACACAUUUAAUUAAAUCCAAAGAGCCCUUUCCACAUCCUUUCUGAGCAUGCGCAGAGAAUGAAAAAAAUCUUCGCGCAUACGCAUUCACCUUCUUCAUCUACGCCACAGUGUGCUUUGGCCACGUGUCUGGAAAGAGGGAUUAAUCACGGUUCAUCCGCUGGAGUUAAGGUUGCUGCUUGAGGAAUUUGGAGCUGUGGAGAUUUGAGCUGUGCUCCAAAAGUGCAUGUAAAGAGUUCCCGAAUCGAAGUGAAGUGUGAAUGCAUCCUUCAAGCUGUGAUUAUAUACCUGAAUGAGAAGCCUCAAAAUAUCAUCAAAGAGUACAUGGAUUUCAACGUGAUGGAAGCUGAAGAGCCCGAAAGGAUGGAUUUGGGGUGUUUAUAAAAUAAUCCACGAAGGAGCACAGCCUGAGAUGACUCCCUUGAAGAUGUUGGCAUCAUUAUCAAGAGAUGCACCGUCUUGCAGGAUCUUCACGAUGUGGCGAGCAGGUGUGCACUUUUGUUUGGGCUAAUUAACUGCCUCAAUCUGAGUUACCCAAAGCCACUUCGCUACACAUUUGAGUUCUUCCAGAAGGUGCUCAUGGGACUGGAAGACAAAAAACUGUCUAACAAAAUACAAGUGCUGAAGAACAAACUCUGCCAAAAGGAGACUCAAUGACUCUUCCAGAUCGAAAUGUCCCCCAAAAUAAGUGCUCUGUUUUCUUGCUGACUAAAAGUUUUACUGUUUAAAAGUUUAUAAAUAUAUAUAUAUAUAUAUAUGUAUGUUGAUCCUUGUUUGUAAAUAUUUUGUCAUAGCUUUUAAUAUUUAAGAGAUUUACUGAAUGCUAUUUUUCUUUUGAUUGUGGAAAAGAAAACAUAAUUCAGAAACUGAGUUUUUUGAACUGGGGACAAAAUUACCCAGAUGGAUAUAUUUUCUUGUUUCACAACAUUUUCUUCAGUUUGAGUUGCUGUGGUAAUUCUGCAGACUGUAGCCAUUGCAGACCUACAACUGUAGAUCCUGAAAUCAUUCUGGCAGGUUUGACAUCCUACUCCUCACUACACUGUCACUUAGUUGAAACUGGAAAGUUGUUUCAGAUGUUUACAUUUUGUUUUACACACUUCAUUUAAUGUUGCAUUAUGCAGUGUUGUUUCCCUGUUUAAGCUUUGCCUCAUUAAAGGCUUUUGUUCAAGUUGUUAAAGCAACACAAUUUUUUUUUUUUUUUUUUUUUUUUUUUUGUAUUUACACUUCAUAUUAGCUCUGGUGUACCAGGUUUCCAUUGUAGUUCAAGGAUCUUGAGUGUUAUAAAUGUUAAAGUGUAUGUGCAAACAAAUGUGAAAAGGUUCUAAGGUUGUCACCUGUACUCAAGUUAAGUGCUGGAUUUUUGGUCUUAGCAUUUAAUUAAGAAUAUUUUGAGAUUUGCUAUAUGCAUUUUCUUAAUUGUAAAAUUAUGAUUUUUAUUAUAAAAUUUAUUAUAUAAUAGAAAACUUAUAAUUCUGAAUCAGAUUUUUGGAACUGGGAACUAAAUUGUCCAGAUUUACCUUUUUGUGUCACUUAAGUAUUUUCUGUAAUUGCAUUAUACAGUGAUUUUUAAGUUGCUGUGGUAAAUCUGCAGAUCUGACUAGAAUCACAAGUUGUUGUAUUGAAUUUGACAUCUUACAGCACACUACAAUGUCACUUUGUUGAAACUCGAAAGUUGUUUCCAAUGUUUAAAUUUUGGUCAUGCAUUUUAAGCAUUUAAUAUUGCCUUAUGCGGUGUUGUUCCCUGUAGAAGCUUUGCCUUGUUAAGGCUUACCGUAAAUAAAGUUGUUGAUGCAGCACCCUUUUUUGCAUUUACACUUUAUGUAAGCUUUAGUGUAAGAGUUUUCUAUUGAAGU